AGAGUUUGAUCCUGGCUCAGGAUGAACGCUAGCGACAGGCUUAACACAUGCAAGUCGAGGGGCAUCAUGAGGUAGCAAUACCUUGAUGGCGACCGGCGCACGGGUGAGUAACGCGUAUGCAACCUGCCUGAUACCGGGGUAUAGCCCAUGGAAACGUGGAUUAACACCCCAUAGUACUUUUAUCCUGCAUGGGAUAGGAGUUAAAUGUUCAAGGUAUCGGAUGGGCAUGCGUCCUAUUAGUUAGUUGGCGGGGUAACAGCCCACCAAGACGAUGAUAGGUAGGGGUUCUGAGAGGAAGGUCCCCCACAUUGGAACUGAGACACGGUCCAAACUCCUACGGGAGGCAGCAGUGAGGAAUAUUGGUCAAUGGACGAGAGUCUGAACCAGCCAAGUCGCGUGAGGGAAGACUGCCCUAUGGGUUGUAAACCUCUUUUAUAAGGGAAGAAUAAGUUCUACGUGUAGAAUGAUGCCUGUACCUUAUGAAUAAGCAUCGGCUAACUCCGUGCCAGCAGCCGCGGUAAUACGGAGGAUGCGAGCGUUAUCCGGAUUUAUUGGGUUUAAAGGGUGCGUAGGCGGUUUAUUAAGUUAGUGGUUAAAUAUUUGAGCUAAACUCAAUUGUGCCAUUAAUACUGGUAAACUGGAGUACAGACGAGGUAGGCGGAAUAAGUUAAGUAGCGGUGAAAUGCAUAGAUAUAACUUAGAACUCCGAUAGCGAAGGCAGCUUACCAGACUGUAACUGACGCUGAUGCACGAGAGCGUGGGUAGCGAACAGGAUUAGAUACCCUGGUAGUCCACGCCGUAAACGAUGCUCACUGGUUCUGUGCGAUAUAUUGUACGGGAUUAAGCGAAAGUAUUAAGUGAGCCACCUGGGGAGUACGUCGGCAACGAUGAAACUCAAAGGAAUUGACGGGGGCCCGCACAAGCGGAGGAACAUGUG
rnacentral:rRNA from 1 species